AAUUCUCAACUCUCCUCAGCUUGUCUGCUGUUGCUGGAGCUUGGAUCUUGGAGGUUGCUGGUUGUUGUUCAAUCAGCUCCUCUCAAAUGCAUUAGCUGAACCGUUUGCAAUUCGUGCUCCGGUGUGAUAGUUAUCUACACCACAGUGGAGUUGCUCUCUGUUUUUGUUCUGCUUCUAAUCGUCCGCACAAGGACAACACUUGAUUACUGAAC
rnacentral:misc_RNA from 1 species